UUUCGNCAAANCCCGAAAGGGUGACGAAGCGACGCCGCGUGCGGGAAGAAGGCCUUCGGGUUGUAAACCGCUGUCGGGAGUUAAGAAAUGCAAGGAUGUUAAUAGCAUCUUUGUUUGACUAAGGCUCCGGAGGAAGCCACGGCUAACUCUGUGCCAGCAGCCGCGGUAAUACAGAGGCGGCAAGCGUUGUUCGGAAUUAUUGGGCGUAAAGAGCACGUAGGCGGCUGUGUAAGUCGGUUGUGAAAGCCUUCCGCUUAACGGAAGAACGGCAUCCGAUACUGCAUAGCUCGAGUGCGGGAGGGGAGAGUGGAACUUCUGGUGGAGCGGUGAAAUGCGUAGAUAUCAGAAGGAACACCGGCGGCGAAGGCGACUCUCUGGCCCGUAACUGACGCUGAGUGUGCGAAAGCUAGGGGAGCAAACGGGAUUAGAUACCCCGGUAGUCCUAGCCGUAAACGAUGGGCACUAGGUAGAGGGGUUUUGAUUAUCUCUCUGCCGGAGCUAACGCAUUAAGUGCCCCGCCUGGGGAGUACGGCCGCAAGGCUAAAACUCAAAAGAAUUGACGGGGGCUCGCACAAGCGGUGGAGCAUGUGGCUUAAUUCGAUGCAACGCGAAGAACCUUACCGGGGUUUGACAUGAUGGAAGUAGGAGCCCGAAAGGGCAACGAACGGUAUCCAGUCCGUAACUAUCACAGGUGUUGCAUGGCUGUCGUCAGCUCGUGUCGUGAGACGUUGGGUUAAGUCCCCUAACGAGCGAAACCCUUGUCUUUAGUUGCCAACAGGUCAUGCUGGGUACUCUAAAGAGACUGCCGUCGUCAAGACGGAGGAAGGUGGGGAUGACGUCAAGUCAUCAUGGCCCUUAUAUCCCGGGCUGCACACGUGCUACAAUGGUCGGUACAAAGGGAUGCUAAACCGCAAGGCGGAGCGAAACCCAGAAAGCCGAUCUCAGUUCAGAUUGGAGGCUGAAACCCGCCUCCAUGAAGUAGGAAUCGCUAGUAAUCGCGGNUCAGCUACGCCGCGGUGAAUNGNGUCCCGA
rnacentral:rRNA from 1 species